GGAAUCGAGGACCCGGCUCGGAACUGGGAUCUAGGUACCCCUUAGGAAUUGGCUUGGAACCGGAGCUUCAAUGGCGUAUAAUUAAAAAAUGUUCGGGGUGUUCUGUAAUUUAACAUAUAAGAAAAUUAAAACAAAUGUGAUUUACAGAUUUAGGGAUUUAGAGAUGGAGGGUUCUUGGCUUCUUGUGUUCUGAAAUUUCACGAUUUGGGGAAGAACGAACUGUGGUUGUUACGUCCGUCCACUGAAGUCCUUCCGUCCGGCGUCCACUCCAGUCCGUCCGUCCCCAGCCCACUAUGGCGCAUUCUCUCCUGUACGCAAGACUUGCGGCGCCGAUUCACUUUAUUCCGGCAAAGAAAUGAUUAGACUUGACGAAGGAAUAUCCACGGCAAAUUUGGAGCAUGCAUGAGCCAUGAUGUUUAAAUGUUUUAUUGAUUGUAUUUCAGUAUCUUGUGUUCUUUUUUUCUUUUUUUUUUCUUUUUUUUCUAUAAUUGGGAUGUCUGAGUCAGCUUACACGUACUUCAAUUAAUCUCCGAGGUUCAUUAAAUACCCUACAAGCGCAAAGGACCUGAUAAAUCAUAAUGUUAUUGCGGUAGAUGGCCUAAGGUUUGAACCCAAAAAUUCAAGGAAGAGAGUAAACCUCCUUGACUGUCAAGCCAACCCCUUGGAGUUAAACUUCGUGUGUUUAUUUUGUUGUUAUGUUAUUUGAAAUGAUGAAUGUUAUUUAUAAUUUUAAGUUUGGAACAAUAGUUGCAGUAGAUGUGAUUUUUUAAAA